GACAGAGGGUGCAAACGUUGUUCGGAAUUACUGGGCGUAAAGCGUGUGUAGGUGGCUGCGUAAGUCGGAUGUGAAAGCCCUGGGCUCAACUCAGGAAGUGCACUCGAUACUGCGUAGCUUGAGUACCGGAGAGGUUGGUGGAAUUCUCGGUGUAGAGGUGAAAUUCGUAGAUAUCGAGAGGAACACCUGUGGCGAAGGCGGCCAACUGGACGAGUACUGACACUGAGACACGAAAGCGUGGGGAGCAAACAGG
rnacentral:rRNA from 1 species